UAUAAAACUAAGCCGAAUCUCCAUAUGGAGUACGGGGGAAUUCUUUACAGGGGUGAAUCUUCGCUAUGAAGUAGGGUGCCUCAACCCAAACCCGUCAACUAACCUCGGAGGCAAUAGAGGAGGAAAUA
rnacentral:sRNA from 1 species